rnacentral:rRNA from 1 species
AGGAGCUGUUUGCUGGCCCUUGACACGGGGCAUGUGCACGCUUCGUUUCAAAUCUCCAACCCCUUCAUACCCCUGUGCAUCUUUUGUAGGGUCGCGUCGGUCGAAAGGCUGGUGCGCUCUAUGUCAUAUCAUAAACUCUUGUAUGUGUAGAAUGUUCAAUGCGCACGACGCAUCUUUAUACAACUUUCAGCAACGGAUCUCUUGGCUCUCGCAUCGAUGAAGAACGCAGCGAAAUGCGAUAAGUAAUGUGAAUUGCAGAAUCCAGUGAAUCAUCGAAUCUUUGAACGCACCUUGCGCUCCUUGGUAUUCCGAGGAGCAUGCCUGUUUGAGUGUCAUGGAAUCAUCAACUCUCAUUUUUUCUAUCGAAGAAAUGAGAGCUUGGACUUGGAGGCUCGUGCUGGCCCUGUUUGGGGUCGGCUCCUCUUGAAUGCAUUAGCUUGAACCUUCUGCUGUAUCGGCUGUUCGGUGUGAUAAUUAUCUACGCCGUGGCUGUGAGGCUUUAAACUUGUGGGCUCAGCUUCUAACCGUCCUCUUGCAUGAGGACUACCUGCAAAGGUACCAUUGACCUCUGACCUCAAAUCAGGUAGGAU